GCUGGCUUCAGUUCGCGCUCCUCGUCUUCUCUCUGGCUCCGAACUGCGCGCAGUGUCUGGGUGGCGAUCCGAAUGGUGCCUGCGAUCUUCUACCUCGGGGACUCGGCUGUCUUCCUUGUGCUAAAAAAACUGUUUGCUGAGUGAAUGCAAGACCUUCAUGUGCUGCCUGACGGUGAUGCCAGAGCAGGCCUGCCUCUCUCCAGCAGACAGCAGACACCAGACACCAGGAAGUGUACAGCUUGACGAUGUCAUCCUAGGCAAAGACAUACUGGGAGAGAGCAAGCAAGCCAGUCCUUGUCUUGUGCAUGCAGUGCCCUUGGAGGCCAGAAGAGGGUGUGAGAUCCCCGGAGUUACAGAUGCAUGUACUGCCAUGUGAGUGCUGGGAAUUGAAGUUGGGUCCUCUGUAAGUGAGUAUAUGCUCCUAACCACGGAGCCAUCUCUUCAGACCCUGAUUCUGUUUUGUUUGGAUACACUGUCUUUGGUAGCCAAGGGUGACCUUGACUUCUGAUCUUUCUGCCUCUUCCUUUUCAGUGCCGGAGAUCAAGCCCCAAACAUUCAACAUCAUGCCCUCCUUCCUCUCAGGAAGAACUACCUACAGUGGGUGUGUUUGAAACUGUCCAGCUGGGGGCACAGCUGGAAGAGACCAGCGGCUGUUUCUCCCAGCUGCAAAUUAAAGGGUCAACACCUCAGGGGGAAAACAAACCACUGUCCAGGCAGCAGCUGGGGAAAGGGCCCCGGGGCUGGAAGGACUGAAAAGGACCUGGGUUCAAUUCCGAGAACCCCACAUGGUGGCUCACAAACAUCUGUGACUCCAGUUCCAGGGGACAUGACGCCCCCUUUUGGCCUCCUUGGGAACUGCACUCAACUGGAGUAUAGACAUGUAGACAAAACAACCAUAUACAUAAAAUAUGAAUACAUAAUCUUAAAAAACAUAAAACAAUAAAUAAUUUAAAAGUAA